CCCGCCUCUUGUAUUUAAAUACGGCGCUCAACAUGGCGGUACCUAUUUGGUCCGUCGGUCGCUGUUUUCUAGCGCAGGCCCUGGAAAAGACUGUUUCUUCAAGAGCCACGCUGUUUGGCUAACCACAGCUGCGUUUUAAUCCCUGAAGCCCUUUCAUCGCGGAGUGCGUGUGGGCUAUCGCCUGAAAACCAGCUGACCUUUAACGACCCUCACCACCUCUGCUCCGGAAGUGCUUGCUGGUCCCAGGGGCAAGGCUGGAGGCUUGGCGACUAUCAUGCAGUCAGUAUUUGCUUUGGAUCUUGGAAGUUAAGUCAAUUACCAUUGUGGUCGGAGUAUAUGGUGGAUGUGAUCCAUUACAAUGCGUCUUGUUGGAUUCUGUCACAUUCCGGCGGUGCCCCAAAGAAAUGAAAUCUGAACUUGUGCGUUGGGGUCCCUGAGCCCCACAGUGACAGGAUUUGCUUUGAUUCACGGAAGCAUGGGUUCCUCAUCAGCUACAGAUCUGGGAACUUCACUCAAAAGAAAAAAAAAAAAUGCUCCUAGUCUGAAAGAGGCAACAAGCCGGUAAAUGAGGGGUUCCUGCCACUCUGCUCCUCACUAUACCUUUGGGUUGGGCCAUUUCCUUUCCACUAUCACAUGACACAUCCCCUUUCUUUUGUAAAGUGGGCCUUUCCCCUGUGAAUGGGCCCACAAUUUCACCUGUGAAUUGAAGAAUUCAAGUUGUAGAGCUUCACAGAUUCCACAGAUUUCUGCCUCUGACAACAUGAAAUCAGUUCCAGACUAUUAGACACUGCCCUUAGGGGCCCCCCUGUGGACUCUCUGAAUCUAUGUAUCCUUUUUAGUUGUAGUAAGCUAGUAAGCUUCUUUAUCCUUUUUUCAGAUAGCUUGAAGAUUCUUUUUCUAGAGGAUUCUUUUUCUUGAUAAAGUCAGGUGAGCCAACAGUCACCCCCAAGAGUAGGGUGAGAUGAGUUUUCUGAUCUCCAGUUUAGGGAACCUCAUCAGAUCCUGCUCAGUAACAGAAGAAUGGAGGGGGAGGGAGAAAGGGAGGAAGAAGGGGAGGAGGCGGCAGAGGAGAGAGGUGAGGAGGAAAAAGGAAUCAUGACAUAGUCCAAGGUCAUCGUAGUUCUACAGGCAGCUGACUUAGUUAGAAAGAUUGCAAGCAGUCAGACAGCUGUGCAGUGGAAUGAGCCAGUACAGAAGACCUGAUACCUUGCAAUCUUGGAAGAGACAGAUAUUUCCUAUGGGCCAGGCCUCAAGAUGAGAUAAAUCAGAUGCACCCACAUACUUCCUAAGGAUAAGCACCAGGAAUUGAUAUUCUAAAUAUGUAUGGAUCACCUUGAGGAAGCCAGGAGUCACCAUCCUAGCUCCCUAUAUGAAGAGUCACUGCUCUAUAUUCAUGCCCACUUGUUACAGGACUUGCUUCCUCAUUUGUCCCCAAUUAAAUCAAUUUUACCUGAACAGUUAAUCUUACUGAUUGACCAUACCUCUGUCCCACCUGAUGCCCACCUUAUGAGUUCACAUGUUUUCCCCAUUUGGAACCCUGCCUCACCUUGUGGUUUUGCUCUGUAAAAGUUCUUAGAAAAGACCGAGUCUUUGGCAACCCACUCAGGAUCCCUUCUGUCUCUCUCAGACAGAAGCUUUCUUUCUCUCAAUAAAUGUAUUCUGCUUUAAUCUCUAUUCUUAAAGUUCAUUCUUCGAUUUUACAGAACAUGAACUUGUACUGGACAGCUAGUAGGUGGAGGGUUUCAUUCCCCUGUAUCAAUAGGGAUGACAAAGCAGUAGCAUCCUGGGCCUUAUUUGCUAUUGAUAAAAACGUGAUUUGUGUUUACUUCUGGGGCCAUCAGGUAUUUUAGAGCUCUUUUUGCUGUGAAUUAUAACUCUUCUCUUGGGCCUGUAGUUGGCAAAUAGGUAACUAAAACAAAGCUUGGUCUGUAUUUUGCAGUCUUUCUUUCUUUUUUUUUUUUUUUUUGCAGUUAAAAUUUUUUUUUUAUUUAAGGAGAAAAGAAAAAAAAACAGUGAAAGGGUACAAGUUAUACAGAUUUACAGAAGAAACAAAUGAACAGUAGGAAAUCACUAGUUAAUGGAUUACAUAUUGCCAUCUUAGAAAUAAUUGAUCAAGUCACAAAAUUAAAGCUUGUAGAGUGGACAUUCCAACAACGAUACUGCAAACAGUUCUGUUCAAUGAUCCAAUAAAACUCUGUGAUAUCAUUUUCUAUCUUAUACACUUAAAUAUACAUGCAGUUAUGUAGUUUAGAGCACUUUCUUUUCCUCUCUUUUGUACAAUGACUAUUACACAUUUUGGGUUUCAUCGCUCCCACGGUUCUUAUUGCUUUUUUGGAAGAGAGUAAAACCAAAUGAGACAUAACAGAACAGAAUCGGUCAAGUCAAAAGUGUGGACAUAAUAGAUAAUAUAAAAACAUAAUACAAGGUGAUCAACAAUGGUUACCAUAAUGCCUCCCGCUAUCUCUAAUAGAAUUGCCUAUAUCAUUAGUUAUAAUACAAUUGAACAAAACAGUAAAGAACAAAACCGACAAAACCAAACCAUUGGAGACAUUGUAGGUGUUCAAAAGUAGAUAAAAGUCAAUGAGAAUGGGCGUUAUAAUGAAUCUCAUUAUCUUCACAGCUGAUGCCUAAGCUUUCGAACCUGAUACUAUCCAGCAAAACAGAAUAGGGGAACAUCAGUCAAAAACAAGAUGGUGAGAGUAAUACAGGGCUUCAAAUCGAGAUAAUAGAAAGUCAAAGUGGGUUACUAUAUUAUAUCCUGCUAUUUUUUCCCUUUAAUUAAACGGAUAAAAAUAAAAAAGUAAAUAAUGGAGUGGAGAUUGAGAAAAAAGAGGGCAUAACAGCGAAACAGCACAGAUCAAAACAUAACCAUUUAAGCAGAAUAGUGUUUCACCACCAGAUAAUUCCGACCCAAAAGUAGUUACCAUAUUGACUCUUUCCUUGAAGUCCUUGAGUACAACUUCGUAUACUGUAGCAUUAAGUAUAUCAAAACAAUGUAAAACCAUUUAAGAGAAUGACAGCAUUACAGAGUAUUUAGAAUCGACUAACAGAAAAUGAACAAUGGUUUCUGUAUAAUCUCCUUGUCUUUAAAGGGUUUUUGCUUAUACUAUCAUACAUAAUAAAAUCCAAUAAGAUACAACCUGUUUAGACCAUUGGAGACAGAAGAACAAAAGCUAGAUGAGACUUCAAAACAAGAUGAUACUAAAUCAGUAUUACUUAUUAAGAUGUCAUUUUCUCCAAAAUAGCUGUUCCUAUCAUCCAAUCUUCUCUGUCUCAUUUCUGUUGAGCUCUUUUUCUGUCAGUAGCUGUCAGUUUGUCUUCUUCAUUUUGUUCUCUGCUCCAUUCGUUGUGGCCUCCCCGCCACUAUUUCUGGGUUCUUUGUAUUUUUCUUUUUUUAGAAUAUCCUGCAAUACCUUCUGUAGGGUUGAAUUGGUGGUUGCAAAUUCCCCCAGUUCCUCUUUAUCCUGGAAGCAGCUUGUUUUUCCAUCAAUUUCCAGGGACAGUUGUGCAGGAUAUCUCAAUCUUGGCUGGAGAUUAUUAUCUUUCAAAGCUUGAAUUAUUUCCCCCCAUGCUCUUCGUGAUUUGAUGGUUUGUGCAGAGAAUUCUGCUGUAAUUCUGAUGGGUGUUCCCUUGUAAGUGGUCUGUUUCUUGUCUCUGACAGCUUUUAAUAUUCUGUCUUGUAUUGAAUUUCUGGAAUUUUUAUUAUUAUAUGCCUGGGUGUUUCUCUGUUAGGGUUGUAGGUAGCUGGGGUCCUGUAUGCCUCAUACAUCUGAGUAUCUUUACCUUUUGCUAAAUUAGGAAAAUUCUCCUGGAUUAUUUCUGUAAGUAGUUUUUGUAGUUCACUUGUUUGUGUCCCUACUUCUUCUUUUAUGUUCUUAAUCCUUAAGUUAUGGCUCCUCUUAUCAUCUUCUUGUCUUUGUAUUAUUGCUGUUUGUUUCUUUGUUAUUUUUAAGAAGUUUUUCAUUUCAUUUUCCCAUAUUACAAGUCUGCCCUCCAUUUCAGAUAGUCUAUCCUUAGUUUCUUUCAAGCUGUUAUGCCAGUCUUGGAUAGACUUCUUAAUUUCUUGAUAGUCCCUUUGAACCUGCUUCACGUACUCUAUGCUUUCUCUGUUUUCUCCAUCAAACAAUUCUCCCCUCUUUUUCUGUUCUUCCAUUCCACCAUCUGUUUUUUCCUGGGUGGUGCUUAGCAUUUCUCUAACUAUUCUGCAUACUUCUAGCUUCAGGUCGUUGAUAACUUCAUUCCUGAAUUGGUCUAUGAGACUCUCUAUAUGCAGUAUUUCUUACUAUAAAUUGUGGUUCAAGUCUCUUUGUGGCUCUGCAUAGGGCCUGUUGAACAUGUAGGCUCUGCCUGGGAGCUGGCCAGAUAGAGUCAGUUAGCUGGGAAGUUGUGUGAUUCUGUCACAGGCAGUUGAGCUAAUUAGAAAUAUUACAGGCAGUCAGACAGGGCAGGGCCCUCAGAGGAGCCAGAGCAGAAGUUCAGAUAACUUGCAGCCUUGGAAGAGACAAUCACCUCCUGCUAUGGGCCAGAUCUCAAGACAAAAUGCAAAGCAAAUACAACCACAUCCUAAGUAUCCACAGUCCAGAUAGUUCUCUGUUACCCUGAGACAGUCAGGAGUCUUCUCCCUACAGGAAGAGUCCCUGUUGUUAAACAUGCCCGCUUACAAUGUGGCUCACUCCCUUAUUUGCUCCUAAUUUAGUCAAUUUUACCUGAGCAGUUGAUCUUAUUGGUUGACCACACUUCUGUCCCGCCUUAUGCCCACCUUGCAAAUUCCCAGUUUUUCUUAUAUUUGACUCAUUUAACUUCAUGAUUUUACUCUAUAAAAGUCUCUUGAAAAGACAGAGUCCUUGGUAACCUGUCUGGACCCCUUGUGUCUUUCUCAGACAGAAGCUUUAUUUCUCUCAAUAAAUAUAUUCUACUGUUAACCUUGGUUGUUCCUAAAAUUCAUUCUUCAAUUUUAGAGAACAUGAACUUGUACCGGACAUAGUAGGUCAGAAGUUUCAUUCCCCUAUAUCAAUGCCAUCCCUUUCAAGUGUUAGGACACCAAGACAAGAGGGUCUUUCAGUUACAGAAGCCUCCAGCCACUGUCCUGGACCCAUGAUCACCUGGAUUCUAGGAAAGGCAGAGACCCCACCUGAUUGGGACCCCCACCCCCCCAAGAUAGCCCUUUCCUGGAAAUAAAUUCAUCCCUCAGCCAUAAAGAUCCUAGACCUGUGGCACUAAGACAGAGAAGACUAUGGUCAGGUGGACCCCCCGGGCAGGCCAUCACAGCAUUUCAUGUUCCCAGAGUGUGGACACUUUAGAAAAUGCUUAAGGAAAAUGUGAUUACUUUUCUUGAACCCCAGUGUGAAUUUGCACUGAAUGGAUUGAAUGUUAAGAAGAAAGCUUACUGAGAUCAUUGUGUUGCAUUCCAUGAAAUGUGUGAAGCACAUUCUCUACUCUGAUGAUGGUAGGAGCAUGAAAAUUUUUCUUCCUUCCAUUACCUCAAGUAGAAAAUCAAAUGGCCCAACCAUUACAUAUAAAGGCUAUAUAGUUUCUUAAAAUAAAUACAUCCAUGUGCACAUGCAUAUGUUUUUCUCCCUAUCAUCUAUCUGUUUUAACUCAGACAUUACUAGAGAGUGAAUUGUAACCUCCCAGAAAUUAGUAUGUUGCAUCGAAAUACCAAUUUCCUGUCCAUCAGAAUUUGUGUGUAUUUGGAGAUAGCAGCUUUAAAAAGAUGACUGAGUUAAAAUUAAAUCACUGGAGUGUGCAGAAGCCAGCAUGACUGGUGUCUUUUGAGAAGAAGAAAUUUGGACACAGGUAGAGUAGGUAUGUCAUUCAAACAUGAAGACAGAGAAAGUCACCCUUACUCCACCGUGAUCUUAAGUUUCCAAUGCCCUAAUAAAAUAAAAUAAAAUAAAAUAAAAUAAAAUAAAAUAAAGUAAUUUCUGUCAUUUAAGUCAUACAGUGUGUGGUACUUUGUUACAGCAACCCCAGGAAAUCAUUGCCAAGGGUUUUUUGAGAAUGCUGAGUUCUGGAAUAUGUUCACUGUUUAUUCCUUCACAUCUGAAUGAUAAUCUUGCUCUGUGCAUACUGUAUGCAAAUUUCUUCUCAUAAAACCUCCAGUGCACAUUAAGAGAAGUGUAGACAUUCCAGUACAUUAAAAACUGUCACACUGCUCUCAUGUCAGUAAGAAAGCUACAUCAGCAGGUUAGAUGAUUUUUGUUAUUGUUACUUGGCUGAUGCACAUGGGUUUUUAUGGAGAGAGAAAGCCAAAAUUACUCAGAUAACUUCCAAAGGCCAUUUAGUGUAACUGAUGAAUUAUAUGCCCCUUGACCUCUGGUUGCUGGAGAAAUGCAACAAAUAGGAUCAGUCCAUCUCUGUCUAUCUAGUGCAAAACAUCACUUAUAGAUGCUGUCUGUAGUUUUCUUUGAAAGUGAUUUGUAAUCUUUAUUUAUACCUUUUUGGUAUAAAUAAUGAAUGGAAGUUAUACUGCCAGUAAAUCUGUGAAAAGUCUUUUUCAGCAUUAACUCAUGGGGCAUAGGAAAUAAUUCUGCAUUUGUUGGGUUUACAUAUUUUGGUGUGCUUGGGAGAAAACUUGUGAUGGUGUGAACACUGACGAAGAGAGAUGGUAGUGUGAUAACCACCAUCCUUCACCCACCCAAGCUGGACGUGUUGAGCACACUUGUAAUCCUAGCAUUCUAGGUGGCUGUCAAAAGAGGAUCACAAGUUCAGCCUCAGCCUGGGGAAUUUAUCAAGAUACUCCAAGAAAAAAAAAUGUAAGGCCUUGGGUUUGGUCUCCAGGAACAAAUAGACAGAACAACACCACCACCAACCCAGAAUCACCAAUGCACACAUUGCCUCUGUCUUGUAAAUGUUUUCUGAAGAAUAAAAUGAUAGCCAAUUGUGUAGCAGUUAGAGUUUAGUUAUUAAGUGUCCCUCAGAGCAAGACAAAGAAGGCUUAAUUACUAGUCUGUGGCACUACUGAGCAGAAGAAACUUUAAGAGGUGCCUGCUUGUGGGAGGAACCUAGCUCACUGAUGCAUACCCUUGAAAGGAGUAUUGGAACCCAGCACCAGCUGCCAUGAGGGGAGGAGCUAUAUUAUGGCCCCACCCCCGUGAUGUUCUGCCUCUCCACAUUCCCAGAGUAAUAGAACCAGAAUCCAUGGACUGCAGCCUCUGAAACCAUGAGGUCAAAUAAAUCUGUCCUCCUUGUAAGUCUAUUUCAAAUGCAUUGUCUCAGCAGUGGCAAGUUGACCAACAGGGAAAUUGGGUCACAUGAUACUCAUGUAUUUGUCUUGAAUGUCUUUUGGUAAACACUUGAAAGUUGGGAAAAACAACUAUCUUAUACUAAAAAAUUGUCUAACUAAAAAAAGCCUCCACAUCCUGAGCCAUGAUACAUGAUAGAUGGACUUUCAUCUUCCAAAAGCUGUGAGCUGUGAGCUCUAUUCUUUAUAAAGUCAACAGGUCUCUGGCAUUUCAUUACAGUAUUGGCAAGCAGACUAAUACUGUAGGAGAAGAAAACCAACCCAUUGUUUCAAAGUGUGUACCUGCAACAAGUCCAAAGAGAUUCAUAAACUCCACUGCGGUUGUGUAAAGGUAACUUCCUGAAACUGCAAAGCAAGCAUAUGAAAAUAUUUCUGAUAGCUCCACCUCCACAUAGAAGUCAUACAUACUGUGAGACAAGUCCAACCUUUCAUGUAACACAGAUAUAAUGAGAAUUAUUACAGAGACAUCCAGUGGCUUCAACAGUGACAAGGCGGAAGACAAUGCAGUUAAUUUUGUUUGAACUCCAAAUAGAAAUACAUGACCAAAACAAGAGAAGAGAUUUCCCAGACUGCACUCAGUGGUGAAUCAGCUCACUAAUGCACUCUUUAGGUACAACAAUGAGAGACUAUAAAAGCAGACCUUCCUUUCGCUAACAGCAUUCCCAUUUCUCCAAGGAUGAGUGUUGACGGGAGAAUUUGAGUGAAGGUCAGUAACCAACACAACAGAAGACUGCAGGAGGCCUAUGUUUUAUUUUAAAAUAUUUUUCUUUGUCCCAAAUAUAGAAGAUAUUGCAAAAGGGAGAAAAGCUUUUGUGAGCCUUUCAUUCAGAGGUCUGUUGUGCUACAAAUACCAUUAAAGACUAUACUGUCCUUACUGAGCUUUUCUGGAUAAUCAAGGUAUCUAGGGAAUUUUUGGAAGUUCACUAACUCAGGAUGAAUAACAAGGAAUUUGGGGAACCACUUAUUCUUAACAGUUUUCCUACUCUGGUGUCUUGGUUACUUUUAUCUCAUUGCUGAGACAAAAACACCUGAUGCCCAAAAUGAAGGAAGAAAAGAUGUAUUUUGCUUACAAUUUUUGGAUGUUUCAGUCCACACUCAACUAGUUCCAAAGCAGCCUCCAAGCAGAGGUGCUGAGGGGCAGUUGUUCACCGCGGCUACAGGUAACAACAAAAAUUGGAAAAAGAGGAAGUAUACCUUCUUCCCUCCUUCAAAUUGUAUGCCAGCUCCCCACCCAUGGGUGGUGCAGUACUCACACCACCAAUCCUAGCCCUAGACAAUGAACCAAUCAGAAAUGCUAGACUCAGCCACCUCUAUAACUGCAUGAGGCUUGGGGGGGGGGCAUCCAAGCACAAACCAUAACAUCUUGCAAAGUGGUGUACCACUUGCUAUGGUUUGAAGAUACAUAUCCCUCCAACAUUUAUGUAUUAGAAGCUAUAACUCAGAGUGGUUAAUAUUUGGAGGUACCCUUAGGAGAUGAAUAGGUCAUGAAGUAUGCUCCUUCAUGAGGAAGUUAGGGGCCUUAUAAAAGGGUACUGGUAUUGCUCCUUUUCUUAUUUUUUUUAUUUUUUUUUUUUGUUUUGUUGGAACCAGGAGUUGAACUGAGGACCUUGCGCUUGCCUGUCAGGUGCUAGGGCAUUGAGCCAUACCCCUAACCCCUGGUGUAACUCUUUUUCUAUUUGCCUUCCUCUAUGUGAGCCACAGCAAGAAGACACCACAUUAGAGCCAACAGCAUCCUUCAGUACAUACUGGAUCUGCUCUAGCCUUAAUCUUUGGUUCUGUAUGAGAAAUAUAUUAUUCCUCAGUUGCUUUGCUCUCAUUGCUGAGACAAAACAUGUGACACCCAAAAUUAGGAAAGGAAAGGUUUAUCUGGCUUACUGUUUGUGGAGGUUUCAGUCCAUGAUCAGCAGUCUCCAAGGCAGGUUGGCCUGGCACAGGGGCAGCAGCCAGCAAAAGCAACAAGUGCAACAGCAGGGAAUGGCAAGCCUCUUUUCCUACCUUAUAUUGUACCCAGGCCACUCCUCCUCCAGGGUGGGUGUAACACUCAGAAAAUCUUGUGCCCUCCUCUUGCCCAGGAGGAGGAUAUUUACAAAGAACCCUGGCUCUCUGCCCAGUCUCUUAGUUAAACAUCUCAAGUGGACACAUUAUAUCAACCAUAACACAUUCCUAUUGUUUAUUGAGUGUUAUUGGUUUAUUGUGUUAAAGCAGCACAGAGGGAAACACCCUACCACACAGUAACUACCACAGACACCUGUGCACCAUCGUUUUUCAGUUGAGGUGGAGUAAUUGAGUUAUCAUCAAGACCUGAAGGCUCCCCUGCUCGUGAUGGCUUGGCCUUCUGGGUGGGAAGACUUGAACUUGACAAGAGAAUGAGAAACGGAGAUGGAGGGAAAGCCUGCUGUCAUCAGUUGGUGUGGCUGGCUAAGGAGUAAGACAGAAGUGCACUUGAACAUCUGGCAAGAUCUCCAAGCUCACCUAAAGAUGGAACUCUCUCUGGCAGUCCCUGCAUCCACACUGUCUCAUUCAUUAGUUUUGCUCUCACUGAGCUCAGUGGGCUGAGUUUUCUGGAGUUGGGUAGCUCCCAUCCUAAUUGAGUUCUGGCGCCAUUGUUAUAACAAAGUAUGUUGUGCAUGCUCUAGGUGAUUGUCAUAUCUGAGCUUAAAAGGCAUGAUGCCACAUGUGUAUGUGGAAUAGAGCUCAAAUCCAAAGCCUUUUACCCUAGAACAUGUACCCUUCAGGGACUUCUAGUGCUCAAUUCCUACAGGUCACCAGAUGGCAUCAUGUGAGAUUGCCUUAGUCUGUUUUCUGUUGCUAUAAUGUAAUACCUGUGUAUGGGUAGUUGUUAAAAAAGAGGGUGAUUUAGCUGACUGUUCUAGAACUGUUGCUGUAGAAGUCUGUGAUCAUGGUUCUGGCCACUGUAUUCGGUGAGGGCCACCUUACUGCCUCAUAAGGUGGUGGCCAAUGUGACAUGGGCCAUGAAGCCAGCAUCAGAGUGAGCUCACUUUUAUAACAGACCGAGACCCACAACAACCCAUUGAUAUGUUAAUCCAUGAGUGGCUUAAUCCACUCGUGAGGUCAGACUCUUGAAAACCACCACCUGGCAAAAGUCCCACCUUUGAAUAGCAUUAUUAUGUUUUACUUUUUUGCUACUGGGAAUCGAACUCAGGACCUUGCACUUGCCAAGCAGGUGCUGUACUGCUGAGGUAUAUGCCCAGCCCCCAUGAACAUGAUUUUGAAGAAUAACAUAAAUUUGAGAGGACACAUUCAAAUCAGUGCAGAGGGGGCAGAUUGGACUGACUUUAUUCAGCUGUUGGUAGAGAGAUUAUUAUUGCUAUUUACUAAUCCAUUUUGUUUCAGAAAACCAUUCCAAUGAUUUGUAGUACUGUUCCAUUCUGUUGCUGUGUAUUUCAUCAAAAGAUGACAUUAUCUUCAGUGGAUUAUUUGAAUAUCCAUUUUGCAAAGAUGAAUGAACAGUGAAAGGAUCAAGAUGAGUUCUGAUAAAAUUAUAAUGCCUCCAAGAAAUUAAGAAUCAAAAGCACACCCUUGGAGUCUCCUGGCCUUAUCAACACUUUGGCUUUAGUACUGUAAGAUUAUUUUGGAUCUCUAAGAAUUUUUAAGACAGUCAAUCUGGUUUGUUUUAAGUCCCAAGUUUUUGGUACAUCAGCAGUGGGGAACCAAUACUGUCCAUUUAUUUUUCACUGCAGUCUCUAUUUUCACAGAAAGAUUUAUGGAGAUUUAAAAAACAUUUAGACAGUCGUCUUUUGUCUAAGAUACUAUUUUCUAAAUUAUAAUUUAUUUAAAUGCUAGGACCCAGGACUCAGUUGACUGCAAAUUAUUAAAUAUAUUAUCCGUUCUCCCAAAAUGUGAUUGGAAGCAGUAUUUUAUGGAGGAAAGCAUGGACUUUAUGAUCCUGGCUCUUCCACACAAUGUGUUUUUAUAGAAAAUAUUUGAGAUUUGUUCCUAGUUUACAGCAAGGAGACAGAGAUGCUUCUCUUCCUUCCACUCAAUGGAUAUUAAAUCAUUCCUGGGGUUUUUCCUGCAACUAACACAUUUGUACUUUUACAGAAAUCAUACUAGAGAUAUUAAAGAUAAGGUGCUAGUGCAUGCCAUAUGUUAGUGAGUGAGAAGAGAUGAAGCACAGUUUUGCUUUGGUCGUUAGAGAGUUCAAUGACAUUACAUUAAGAGAUAAAUGUGGAGAUCUUGGAGCUGUCUCUUGCGUUGUAGUCAGUGUAGCUGCUCAGGUGUUGACGUGAUAAAUAGACUCCUAUAAUAUAUUGAUAUAAUUAAAUAUGCAUGUGAAAUUGACUGUGAUGCAGACUUACAGUGCUCUUUUCUGAUUUCUCCUUCACCCUUUUUAUUAUGUUCAGGUCUCUUUUUUGCAUAAGGAAUUAUUUUAAAUGUCUCACCUGUGGGCUGUCUUCUUCUUUGCCAUCAUAGCAUACUCUGUCCACCCACCCUCUCAAAACUCUAGUCCUCUAGACAAUUUUCAGGAAAGAGCCACCUGCCCUCUCAGACCUUACCCCGUGACUUCUGUUGAAAGCAUGUGAUGGACAGGUCACUCACCAAAAUGAUGGUGAUUGAAACAGUUAUGUAACACACAUCACAUUUGUGGUUAUGAUAGAAACCACAUAUAUGCAUGAGAAGCUUAAUACGAGGGAUGCUAAAUGUGUAUCUCCAGCGCCGGGACUUGUGUGAGAGUGACUGUUGCUCGUAAGCAGGCUCUAGCCAUCAGAUCGACAGGAGAAGCCUCUAUAACUUCGUACUACAGCGUCCAAACCAGUCUCGUAUCUGAGACAUUAAUGUGAAAACAUCUGUUUCCCUUUUGCUACAUGUUCUUGUAAAGCUUUCAGAAUCUCCGCAACAAUUCUGUGAGCAAUCCUGUUGCCUUCAGGUCAGGGGAGUAGUUAUGUGAAGGCAUCUUAGUACCAUGGAGACUAGAGAAAGACCACAGACCACGCAGAGUUGGAAUCCCCUCUCCGCUGUACUAAAGACAGCUGUUUUCACCACCGUAAGCUUAAGACCCCAUCAACAAUCUUAAAGCAGUACAGCAGAAGACUAGCUACCAUCCUUUCUGCAUCCUUUAUCAUUGUCUCUAUGCUGUAAAUGAGCAAGCCCUUCCACAUAGACUUAAGUUCCCGCUUGCAGCUCCAUCCUCUGUCCUAAGCACCAGCCAGAGUACCUGCACAUACCAAGGUGGGAGGCCUCCAUUUUGCCCUAGCUCAUCCUUCAUGCAUUGGUGGAGAUUUAGGGUACCUAAGGCAUAUCUGGGCAAAGGCUCAAAGCAGGAUUGAUGAGUACCAGUAUGUAUGUAAUUCUUUCAUGUAUCCUUGUGGUAUGUCUGAUACGAUAUUUUAAAUCUAGUAGAUGUGUAAAAAUACAUGUUCAUUUAUUAUCCCAGCUAAGCCGUAGAUACCAGAGGAAACUCUAGCAUUUCAAAUAGGCACCUUGGCCAGCCGUGGUGGCUCAUGACUGUAGUUCGAUCACUCAGGCGGCAGAGGGAGGAGGAUCUCUGUGAGUUCAAGGGCAGCCUGAACUGCGCAGUGAAACCCUGUCUCAAAAAUAUAUAUUUCUUGAGUUCUUGGCUAUUCAUAACAGCUGAUCUUACUAUAAAUUCAAUGAUAUGCUAAAUAUUGCUUGACUGUUGGUGAGUUAACACUUAUGUAAGUUAACAUUGUUCUGGUUGUCUUGGAUAAUGUUAUGUCAUCCCCCGGUUUAUGUUGAUGACUAAUUCUUUUGUUCUUGCCAUUCUUAUGGUAAUGCUAAUGGUGUCUCCAGAAGACAAAAUAAAUUAAUCUAUAGGCACCUCAGUCCUACCAAAGACUAAUCGUGGAAAUCAUUUUAGGUUUUCUCCUGCAACUUUCGCCUCUUUACAGUUUCUAUCACAUUACUUUAGGCAUGCAUAGCCCAUGAAAUAACCCACUCCAACUUAUGCAAACAGUCACACUGGUUAUAUUCUUAAGUACCCAGGUGCCUAAAUAUCAUGGGACUAUUACCCAAACAUACUGGAAACAAAAGUUCUGAAAAGCAAAUAUGUCCUUCGUUUGCAGAGAAAGGGUCAGCUGCUUUGAAGUUUGCUUGGUCUUGUUCCAUAAGCUUAGAAAGUGUAAUGAAAGGCAGCCCUGGCAGAAACUCAAAUUGUCAAAUACAAGAUAAAAAAUUCUGUGUGUGUAUGUAUGUAUAUAGUUACUAUAUAUGUAUAUUACUAUAUACAUAUAUAGUAAGUGGAAAAAAAAAGCAAGCACCUAGUUUUGUCCACUGGUUUUCCAUUUUGUUUUUACCUCUGCUGUGUGUUUAAACUCUAUAACUCUGUAAUAUUCCUGUACUGCAGCUGACAAAGCAGCACAUGAGAGAGUUGCCACAACAUCAGCAGAUGGUAGGAGGAGGACUGUUACCAGCUCCUCUGACUUCCAGUCCAGUGCAUGUUCUGUUUCACCUUGGUUAUCAAAUUCUGGGACCCAUGGACUCUUCAGAAUCUGUAGUUGACCUUCCAGAAGGUCAUGGCGUCCAAGCGCUCUAUGUACAUGUCUCUAUUUUUUGCCUCAGGGGAAGCGAAUUGGUAUUUCCAGUUUGUUAAAAGGCUUUAGAACCUUUGCAAACCAUCAGAGAGAAAAACAAACAAAAAAACCCCCACAAAAACAAAACACAGGCAAUGGAUACUAUGAAGCCUGUGACCAUUUUUUAUUUAAAAGCAUUCAUAUGCCUCUGCUAGAAAAUGCCUUCAGAACCUUUUUUCUCACACUAGUUCCAUAUUAAUUUUUUACGAUGGCCACACGGAUAGCGCUAAUGAACAGGUGGUGCUACGUCUUUAGUUACAUGCAAAUGUGAUGCGUGAAUUGUGCAGUCUUAAGCAGCAGUUAGCCAGGAUGAAAAUCACAGGUGACAUUUCUGUCUCUCUGAAUACAAGGUUCUCUGUCGUAAAGGGCAUUACCCAGAGACUGCAGCAGCCUUGAAGAUGUUCUCCCUUGCUGUUCAGGACAAAGGCACCGGCUGGGGGACUGCCACACAGCAAUCACGGGUCAAGGGCAGCCUCUGGGUUGGGAAGUGUGCAUGGCUGUGUGAACCUGCUGAGCCAAGAGAGAGUGAAAACAAUCAAGACAGGACUGGCCAUCAAACUCAUGACCUUGCUCUUGCCAGAAGUUGCCCUGAAGAAUCAGUAAAGAAGAGAACAGUGUAGGUGUUGACUGGGCCUGGAUAGGAGCUUCUGUUCAACUGGAUUGAGGACUAAAGGGAGUUUCCCUUAAAGAAAAUAGUCAACAGAGAGAUUCCAUGGCAUGCCUAGUGAGAAGAAAAAGAGACUGGACCACUGAUACCGACCCCAACCUUGUCCAGCUGGGUCUUGUAGCAAGAUUUGGUAUAAACAGUGGAAACAUUUCUGAGUCAAUUUUUUGCAAGAUAGGACCAUGCUCUACUGGAGACUCAGAGACUGGAAUUAGACCGGUCCAAAGACAUAGUUUUCCAAGAGAAGAUAAUCUUCACUAAAGCCUCGCAAUCACCGCGUCUGAUGACUUGACAGUGCCACGGCUCCCAACAAAUGUCUAAUGAGACAAUCACAGAUGAAUGUACCAUUAAGAGAUGUCUACUAGGAGGAGCAGGCCAGUCAUGACAACUACACAGGGAAAACCUGGAAGGAAGGACAUUCUACUGGCUGGUAGACCUUCAGGCAUCAAAUAGCCAUGGAAAGUCUAAGAAGCUGUCCUAGUCUAAAGAAGACUUUAGAAAAAUGUAACAUGAUGUGCCAGCUGAAUAGAUGUUAGGGAAAAGACUUUUAAUGCCUGGAGGCAUUGGAGCGUGAGAGGAUCUCCUGGGAAUGCCUGAGGGAUCACACUCAUUGAGGAAGCAGGUCAUGCAUUUACAGGUAAGGGGUUAAUGCAGAUUAUCAAUGCUCAUGCAGCUGUACCCAGUAUUUGGGGUUGUGGGGAGUGAGACAGAGUCUUGCUAUGCAGCUCAGGAUGACACUGAACUCACUGUGUAGCCCAAGCUGACCACGGACUCAUAGCGAUCCUCCUGCCUCAACUUCACAAAUGCUGGGAUUACAACUGUGUUCCACUAUGCCCAGCCUGUACUACAGUUUUGUAGAGGGUCCUGAAACUUCAGAAAGGUUCUUCUGUCACUGGCUACACUUGCUUCUGCCUGUUGCAUACCCCAAGAUUGAGAAGGUUCCUGGCUUGUGAGACCUAUGCUGUAUACAUUUUUGGGAAGACUCAUAGACUGCCUUGGAUUAUAGUUUUGAUUAAGAAACUCAAGUAUUUUUCAAGGCAAGCUGAUACCCUUUUUGAUAUAGGCUGAAUACAUCAUUUAUCCCAAGUGCCUCAACCAGAAGUGUUUCUAUUUGGAGUUUUUCAGAAGUUAGAAAACUGCAGAUAUGUAAUGAGGUAUGUGGAGGAGGGGACAGAAAUCUAAACAGAAAUUCACUGGCAUCAUGUACUUUAUAUACAUAGCCUGAAAGGAAUUUUAUGCGCUAUUUUAGUGUUCCAUCCUUUUGACUAGGACCUGACGUCAGCUGUAAAAGUAUUUACAAGGGAAAUUAUGUGCAUGCACAAUAAAUUUCCUAUCUUGGAGCAUUUUAGAUGUUGAACUUUUGGAUUCAUGAUGGACACUCCCUUGAAGAAGAAGGCAUGCAUAUUCUUCCCAGCAGCUGUAAACAUGAUGAAUGUGAUAAGCAAAACCCAUGAUUUAAAGGAGGAGAGCACUAAUCUACUCUAAGGCAGAAACAUCAUGGUGGAAGGAUAUUAUGGAGCAAAACUGCUUAGCUCAUGGAGGCCAGGAAGUAGAGCAGGCAAACCUGGCCAGAGAGGAAGGGACCAGGAACCCUAAGUCUAUGACCUCCCAAACCUAUUUGGAAGUGUCCUUCACCAAUUCCCCAGGCAGAUCCCAAAGUUAUCACUACCACAGAUGGAGACUUUUAGAGAAACUGGAGUGGAAACAAUUCUCUCUCUCUCUCUCUCUCUCUCUCUCUCUCUCUCUCUCAAACACUAUCAUUAUUUUAAAUGAACAGUGAUUUUUUUUCUUGCCCAAACUUCAUAUUAACAUGCUGGAAUGUUUAGGAUAAUUUACAUGAUUUUGCUUAGAAUUCUGACAUUUACAUAGGAAGAACUAGGCUCCUAAUAAAUUCCCUAGGUAGUGUUGGAAUGUUUUCUAUGAAAGCUUGAAACAAUGCUAGAAAUGAUACUUGGAAAUUUUCAGUGGUUCUUCUGAGUCAUCUUUCUAUAGUAGAACUGUGACAUAAGCCUAAAUUUUAGGUACCUAGGUGAUUUCAAAAGUUAGUCACAUUAAAGAAAAAGAAACUAUUGGAAUUAUUUUAUUUGCCCCAAUAGACCAAAUAUUACGAUUUCAGUUUGCAACUAUGAUUGCUGCUUUAUGCUCCACUUUUUUUCAUAUUUGGUGUUUUAAAUCAUUGCUUUAAUUACAGUACGUAUAGUGGAGCAAUGUUAACAGACUAAAAUUUUACUGGCCCUUAAUUAACAUCCACCUACUACAACCAUUAAUAGAACUAUAAUCUCUUAGGAUUUUAUUCCACUAGCUUAAUGCCAGUCUAAACUAGAAGAUUCUUCCCUGAAGUAAUUGUUAUCAUUCAGAUCUAAAAUGUCCCUGGUGGGCUUACAUAAAGUCAUUGGAUCAGGAGAGUGUAAACCUCCUCAGUGAUGACCAAUUAGUUCUGCAGAAUUUCUAGUUGAUUUGGCUGUAGAUGAAGGGAGAGGAUCAUGAGCAUGACCUUCUGGGCUAUGUCUUAUCUUUAGACGAUACUUCACCGGUUCUUUCUCACCUUUGCUGUUUCCUGGCUCCAUUUUUCUCCACUAUGCCCUUCUUCAAUGAGGUUUGUGCCUUGUCUUGAUCCUACAUCGGUGGAGCUGGCCAACUAUGGACUGAGCCCUUUGAAAUCAAGAGCCAAAACAAACCUUUGCUCCUCAGGUAUUUGGUCACAGCAAAAACAAAACCAAACAACAAAAACAGAAAAGAAAAGCAGUGAAGUACAGUAUACUUAACUUCCAAAUACAAGAUUUGCCCCCAAAUUUCUUCCUUGUCUUUAAUCAUUUCUCACAACUAUCUGAAGCAUCAGAGUUUGGGGGAAAUAAAUACGCACGCUAUUUGAAUUUGACCGGAGAGCUAAAUGUUUAGAAUGAUUUGACUUAGUCUUAUUUUGGCACGUACUUAUCAGAUAAGACCUUAAGUCAUCAAAGGAUAAAUGAUGGUAGAACUUUUCUCUGUCCACUUCCGUGAAAACAGAACUGGCAGAAACCCAAUACAUUAUUCCCUAAAUCAUCAUUUUCUUGUUUAAAAUUGUCUGCCACUUUAAAAAAACGGUCUUCCCUUCUUUAGUAAUAUUCACUGUGAGAAAAUAAAGCAAGAAUUUUGAAAGAUAGGGACUUCAAAGUAUAUCAUGAUCUUACAUUUUAAGAUCUCUUUAGAUUUGUAGAUGAGAUUACAAAUGUAAUUCAGAGUAUCUCGUGUCAAAAUUAUAAACAAGUUCAGCACAAAUGGGUGACAAGACCAUAAUAAGAGCACUGAUGUUUUGUUAGCUAUAAAAUUUAUAAUCACUUCGCCACUAUAAACUAUCUAAACACCAGAGAAUUUCACCGAGUAAAAUGGAUGAAUCUCUUCUCACACUCCAUUUUUUCUAGCCCUGGUACUAUUUUCCUUUCCAAAAGUAAACAACAUCCCAUUUGUUACAACCCAUUUGUUACAUAUCCUGUAAGAUUUUCCAUAAAUUUGCAUUCUUUCAGUCUGUCUCUCUCUGCAUGUCUCUAUCUCUGUAUCUCUCUCUAUUUCUGUCUGUGACUGUCUGUCUGUCUCUCUCUCUCACACACACACACAUACACACUCACAAUACUUAUUUUUAAAUAAGCUCUUUAUUGUAGGAGAGUUUUAGAUUGACCAAUCAUAAAAGAGAAAACCUUUUAUCUUUGUAUCUCAUAUUGUGCUUGCAUUCUUUGUGUUAUCUUACACCAACUUAGUGCUUUUGCCACCAUGAAUAAACCAGUUUAAAAUGCUUCUGUUAACUGAUGUCUAAACUUUCAUAUUUUGUGCUUUUUCAUGUUUCCUUUUUACCUCGUGUGCCUUUUCUAGUUCAAGGUAGCACAAUAUAGUUAAGCAUCCUGUCUCCUUAGACUCCUCUUGACAUAGUCAAUUUCUUAGAUUUGCCUAAUUUUCCUUUACUUUGGUACUUUUGAGAAUGACUGCUCAGGUAUUUUAUAGAAUUAAUUCCAAUUUUUUGAUGUCUGUCUCAUAACUAGACUGAGGAUAUGCCUUUUGGGGAAGACUCCACAAGAGAUAUACCUACUUAAUCUCUUACCCCUUUUUGAAGUAAAAGAGCAAGAAUUCAUGAAUUUACCCCCUAGGCAGGACUCACAUGAAUAUCACUUCAUGCAAACCAAGUUUUUAUUUCUGCGCAAUAAUUUUGCUCUAAUUUUCUUGUGAUUGCAGAAUUGGAAAUUUUGUCGCAAAGGAUGUGGGUUAGUAAUUUGGAGUUCUUGGUGAGGCUCUUGGGAAUUUCUGCCACAUUUUUUUCCACACAUGAGGCAGCUCCCACCCAGGGAUACUCGGGGAGUCUUUAUUAGGCGUUCAAGCAUGGGUUGCUAUCAAGCUGUUUCUAAAAAAUGAACAUGUCACCCCAGGCAGAAUGACAUUUGCACUUGUCUUUGAGUUGGCCUUGUGAUUGGCAUCUCCAUGAAGGACAAUGCUGUCACCCACUGUUCCUACAGACAGCAUUUGUAAAGACUCACUAAAAGACUCACUAAUUCCCCCAGUCAGUUCCCUCCCCCAGAGCUGAGCAUCUGAGUUAAUGAAGUGGGUCAGAGGAAACAAAGGCUCGAAGACACAAUGACCAUAUGGUUCAUACCAUUUAUAAUAAGAGAAUCUAAGAAGAAACCCAGAAAAGUCAGUGUGAGAAGGGGGAGGCAAACUCCCUCACUUUCCUAAGAUUGCAAAUUGCUGAAAUGAGUCUAAGAGUGUUACGUGUCACAUGGGAGGUGAUAAAAACACAGUUUGGUCCAGUUGUCCAUGUUAGCCAGCAUGGUAUGCUCUAAGAAACCUGGUCCUUUCUAAGGUAUAGAGCAGGAUCAAGAUAGUUUCUAUGUAAAAAGCCAUGGAGGAACUACUUUCAUCCUUGUGAACUGUGUGGUCUCUGGGCUGGAACUCAACUCUGCCAUUCUAAAGGGAAAGCAUGCCACUGAACAGACACAGCUGUGUUCUGAUAAAACUUUAUUUGUGUAAACAGACGGUGAAUUGAACCUGGCCCAUAUGCUUGAUUAUAGCAAAUGUGCUACACUACAGUAGCUUUCUUGUACACUACAGUAGCUUCAAGUAACUUUCUUGUUCGAAUAAGGAAAAAGAGAAAAGCCAGUUUGCUAAAGAAACUGUAUAAGUGCAGACAGCUGUCCCAAAGAUAUCAGGACAUAGCACAGUGGUCAUCUUUAAUUUCCUAUUAACUCAAUUAGGAUCCCUGUAUGACUUAUACUAUUGUAUCAUGACUGAUCUUAGUUAAAUCUGACUUGUUUGAAUACUGCAUAUUAUUGACAGAUUUUAAUCAAAACUGUUAGGUUGAUAGUAUCAAGUUGAGGAGUAUAGACAACUAUACUGAAAAUGACAAUGAUUCACCACAAUAUCAUUCUGAUUUGAUCACUACCUGUUUUUGUAGUUCUACACUAUCUACAAAGUGGUAUUUCUGUUAAUUCUGUUAUGCACUGAUAUGUUCAAUUAUACUUUAUCUGAUGAUAUAGCCAAUUCGGUUGAUGAUAAUAAGAAACAGCACAGUAACCAUGGUAGAACUCCUUAUACAGCAGUUUUAUAUGUUUUUUUAGUGUUAUGUGUCUAUAGGAAUAUGUUUAGUUCUGUCCUGCUUUGUUCUGUUUCUCCCUCUAAUAUAGAAAGGAUAGAAAUACAUGUUAAGACUCAUGCUUGUAUAAAACCUAUAAACAGUUUAUAAGAACUGAUCUUAUGACACAUGAUGAAAUGAACAAAUACUUUAAAGGAAAGAAAGAGGUACUGCAGUACCCACUGCUGAUUCCAGAGUGUUAUGAUGUGAAAUCGAGCAAUAUUAUUAAUCUUUGUUCAGAAGUAUUUUAAUCUAAUAAGUUUUGUUAGGUCUCAACAUAAAUGAAGAUAUGGAUAAAUGCAUACAUGUCUAAGUGUAUAGUUUUUGUUGGAUAGUUGAACAGAAUGGUUUGCAGUCUCCCCGGUUGAAUUCCCAUUUAUAUGUUCCACUUUUGUAUCUUGAACAAUUAUUUGUGGGGGGACAAUAUGUAUACAUCAACUAGUGAUUUAUUACUGUUUAUUUCUUUUCUUUGAAAGUAUGUACUAUUUCUGCCCAUUUUCGAUUGUGUUUUAUUUUUCUCUAAAUUAAAAAUAAAAAAGAAACUGAACAAGGAA